rnacentral:rRNA from 1 species
CGGCACGAGCGCACCCACAUCCUUCAGUUGCCAGCAGUUCGGCUGGGCACUCUGGAGAAACUGCCCGUGAUAAGCGGGAGGAAGGUGUGGAUGACGUCAAGUCCUCAUGGCCCUUACGGGUUGGGCUACACACGUGCUACAAUGGUGGUGACAGUGGGUUAAUCCCCAAAAGCCAUCUCAGUUCGGAUUGGGGUCUGCAACUCGACCCCAUGAAGUCGGAAUCGCUAGUAAUCGCGUAACAGCAUGACGCGGUGAAUACGUUCCCGGGCCUUGCACACACCGCCCGU